GACGGAGGGGGCUAGCGUUGUUCGGAAUUACUGGGCGUAAAGCGUGCGUAGGCGGCCUUUCAAGUUGGGUGUGAAAGCCCGGGGCUCAACCCCGGAAAUGCGCCCAAGACUGUUUGGCUAGAGUCUCGGAGAGGUGAGUGGAACUCCCAGUGUAGAGGUGAAAUUCGUAGAUAUUGGGAAGAACACCAGUGGCGGAGGCGGCCUGGUGGGCUGUUGCUGACGCUGAGGCGCGACAGCGUGGGGAGCAAACAGG
rnacentral:rRNA from 1 species